rnacentral:rRNA from 1 species
AGUGAACGCUGGCGGUAGGCCUAACACAUGCAAGUCGAACGGCAGCACAGUAAGAGCUUGCUCUUACGGGUGGCGAGUGGCGGACGGGUGAGGAAUACAUCGGAAUCUACUUUUUCGUGGGGGAUAACGUGGGGAAACUUACGCUAAUACCGCAUACGACCUACGGGUGAAAGCAGGGGCUCUUCUGACCUUGCGCGAUUGAAUGGGCCGAUGUCGGAUUAGCUAGUUGGCGGGGUAAAGGGCCACCAAGGCGACGAUCCGUAGCUGGUCUGAGAGGAUGAUCAGCCACACUGGAACUGAGACACGGACCAGACUCCUACGGGAGGCAGCAGUGGGGAAUAUUGGGCAAUGGGCGCAAGCCUGAUCCAGCCAUACCGCGUGGGUGAAGAAGGCCUUCGGGUUGUAAAGCCCUUUUGUUGGGAAAGAAAAGCAGCAGGUUAAUACCCCGCUGUUCUGACGGUACCCAAAGAAUAAGCACCGGCUAACUUCGUG